CAUUUUGAUUGUUCUUGAAAGCUUGGAGAAUUGUAUAGAAAACAAGAAACUUUGAGCAAGUACACAUUUCCAGCAGAAAAUAUCUGGUGCUAGUUUUUCAUUUUCUCUGAAGUCAGUACUUAAUUACAAUAAUUACAUGGAAUGAAAUAACAAAUAUCCACUACUAGUUUCUUUUUCAUGGCAAGACUUGAGAAUUACAAUACUUACAUGCAAACAAUUUGAUCAUGAUUAGUGGUUACAAGACUUGAAAAUAAUUCUGCAGACUCCUCCAGACGUGUAAAAGUUAUCCAAUAUCCUUUUUACCAACAAGUAUCAAAAGCAGCAUCGACCAUUUUCUAUAAGACUGAUUAUGCGAGAAAAAGUGCUACUGAUUUUACCUCUUCAAAAGAUAAACAAACCAGGAUACUUUCUUUCAUUUGCAAAUUGUAAGCUUAGUCAUAGAAGUGGCGAGAAAUUAGGCGUGACUGGAAGCUUCACUGCUCCCUUCAAGCAAUGGCUUCGUUUUCCCUAUUAGAGCAGUGGUUGAUUCGUCUUCAUCAUCUUUGUUAAACAGAUCCUCACUUUUCAAAAAGGUUCCUGUAGAAUUCAUACGAUUAAGCAAUUAUAAUCCAGCUAUAUGUCAAUUCUCAACAGUAUAAUAAACUUUCUUCAAGUGAUUAGUAGCGAGUUUUCUUGGUGUCACUGUCAAAUUGUUGGUGUGGCCAACCAACAAUGAUCAGUUUUCAAGCAAAUU
rnacentral:lncRNA from 1 species